rnacentral:tRNA from 1 species
GAGGGUAUAGCUCAGUGGUAGAGCAUGUGCUUAGCAUGUAAGAGGUCCUGGGUUCAAUCCCCAGUACCUCUG